UACGGCGGUCAUAGCGUGGGGGAAACGCCCGGUCCCAUCCCGAACCCGGAAGCUAAGGCCCACUGCGCCGAUGGUACUGCACACUGGAGUGUGUGGGAGAGUAGGUCGCCGCCGGACACUUUUUGUAGAGAGGGUUCAAGCCCGGUCCCUUGUGGGGGACCGGGCUUGACCUGUAUCCAGGG
rnacentral:rRNA from 1 species